GUGUCAGUCCAGACAGGAGGCCUUGCCCAACAUCAAGGAGUCUGGCCGUUCUUCCAAAGGCGAUGGGGAGUCAUUGAGGGCUUGGGCAGGGGAGCAUCACAAUCUGACUUGGAGCAUGGUAAUUCCUGGCUGUUGUGUGGAAGCUGGACUGGUCACUGGUCAGUUAGGAGGCUGUGGCAGCCAUCCCAGGCUCUCACCACACCAGCCAGCAGGCAGGGGAAGCGGAGAGGACACUCUUCUCCUAAUUAAAGGCAUGACCUGGAAGCUGCACACAUCUCUCCGCCAGAAAUUAGGCACUUGGCCACAUAUAGCUGCAAGCGAGAUGGAGAAACAUGGUCAUUAUUCUGGCCUGCCUGCAAGUCUAGGAAACAGAGAGGAUGGCCAUCAGGGGAUAGGAAGUCCAUGACACGGUGGUUAAAAGUUUCUUUCUGAAAUGAGAUUUCCUGGGCUAAAGUCUUACCUUACCACUUAUCAGGUGUUUUUUUUUUUUUUUUUAAGAUUUUAUUUAUUUAUUUGACAGAGAGAGAGAGCACGAGUGAGCAUAAGCAGGGGGAGCUUCAGAAGGAGAGGGAGAAGCAGGCUCCUCACUGAGCAGGGACCCCGAUGUGGGCUCAAUCCCAGGACCCCGGGAUCAUUACCAGAGCCAAAGGCAGAUGCUUAACCAACUGAGCCACCCAGGUGCCCCCAUUUACCAGCUUUGUGGGCAGAUUACGUACUCUCUCUGUGCCUCCACGUCUCAUUGAGGUACAGUGAGCUAAUGUGCCAAGUCUUAGAGUAGAGCCUGGUACAUAGUGAGGUCUGGAGCUGUCUUUAGUUUGUGACAAAAGGGGGACAGGCUCUGCUCGAGUCCCCUGGUAGAGCUGAGGUGACCAGUGGGGCCGAUGUAUGGCUAUGGCAGCUAGGACUCUCCAGCCCCCGUCCCUGACAUCUAUGAUUUAGCUGAGGCAAAGGAUGCUGGGAACAGGGCAUGGGGACCCUGGGGGGAAAAAAAGGUUGCUUUUGGAGAGAAUUCACAAACAGACGGCCCAAGAAAAGAUACCCCUUAGACUCAGGAGUUCCAGAGGCAACUCAGCCCAGAGCUGCUCACUGGACAACAGAUCCCCCAGAAGCAGGAGGAGGUGGUUAGCUUUGAGUCAAGGGGGCUUGAAGCAGGGCUUAGGGAGCUGCUUUAUGGCCUCAGGCCGCCAGCCACCAUUGCCUCUCUCUGCACCGGGGUCUUCCCACCCAGAUGCUGGAGAUCACUUAUCCCUGCUUCCUGCCAUGUGGCUGUGGAGAUGAUAUGUUAGUCCUGGCUCUGAAAUUGGGCUGCACCUGUAGGGUUAAAUGCCCAGGAGGGGUGGGUCGUGGAAGGCGAUUGUGUGGCCCCUCCCAGAAAAGGGGAUGCAUUGCAGCUCUGUACCACCUUCUCCCUCGUUUGGCCUGUUCCUGUUCCUAGGCUAGUGGUGACUGUAAAACAGGGUGGGACCAGAGAGCUAAUGUGGGAGGGGGAGGAAAAGAGCCCAGAAAGGGUUGGGAAAUAGAUAAAGCCAUUUCAGGGAGAAGGCAGAGCGAUAAGAUUUAGGGAAGACAAGGAGCUUACAGUGAGGGGUGAGGUUCUAGAGUUCACCUUGGAAGGACCCAUUCUCCCCAUAGUCAGGUGCUGUGCCUGAGACAUUUCUCUGUCCCCUUCACAGGGCACCACCUAGGCCCCCAUAGAAAACUCCAACCGAGCCCCCAGCCCCCAACCUGCCUGAAGCCACCCCCCCCCCCCAGGCUCUGCUUAGGGGAAGACCUAAAAGGCAGCCUUUGGGGGGGAAGGAGAGGCAGCUGGGUGGUGGCGAGAGACCAGGUCCCAGGCGAGGCUCACUUGUCUCACUGCCUUGCUCAGUGACCUGGGACAAAUUGCUUGCCCUCUGAAGCAGCCUCCACAUCUGGGUAAUGGAGCAGGGGAGGGCAGGUGGGCAAGUGAGCUGCUUUUACACCAGGGGCCUGUCUUCAAAUAAACAUUUAGUGGACGUCCAGGACUUAAAACAAACGAGAGGGAGCUGCUGUACCGAUGGAAGCUGAGGAGGUGCCCAGUCUCUGCUUGUGUGGAUCCGGGGGCCAGCAGGCCCCUUGUGAAGAGCGCCGGAUUGGGCCUCAGUGGGCCGGGCUGCCCCACCCCCAUCUGCUCUUACUGCAACCUGGGGGCCUGGGUGGAGGGAUAGGGUGGGGAUGGGUGUCAGCAGCUAGGGCAAACAGCAGGCUGAGCCCCACCCCGGGCUGCCCUUCUAUCCCUGGGAGCUGGCACCGCGCACGAACACACCUUGGGUCCCUGGGCUAAAGGGAGGGGCCCCAGAGAGGGCCCUCAGGUGCCAGGGCCUCUGGAUGCUUAGCAGGCUUUGGAGUGCUGGAGAAAGGAGAAGUGAGGGUCAGGAAGCUCCUGAUGCCACCUGGCUAAGUGAUCUGGAGCAGCUGCUCUACCUGUCUGGGUCUCAGUUUCCCCAUCUGAACAAUGAGAGAUGAGCGCUAUGAUGUCAAAGUCCUCAGACUUGUUCUCAUUUGUGGCCAAAGGAAAGAUGGGGACCAGGCUGUGGGUUCUGAGCUUCCCAAGAAAGACGGAGUGCUGCUUGUCCUUCAGAAGCAGUGACGGUGGGCACGGCCUCAGAGGCGUGGGGGGGCCAGGGGUUGGCAGGAAGACAUAGCCUGUGCAUGGGCUCUGCUGCUUAGUUGGUGUGUUGUCCCCUCUCGGGGCUGUACUAUCUCCAUUGGCCUAAAGAGACCAGAUACUACCAGAUCCAGGAGUCAGUGACUGUGUCUGGAGUCAGAGACUAGGGCAGGGGUCUGCAACUGGCCUGGGGCCAGGGUCUUGUGGGGAACCAGAAGUGGCUGUCACAGGCAGGGGGGACACUGAGGGUCAGGGAGGAUAUGAGUGCAGGAGGGAGCUUAGAGGUCACAACUUUGGUUUACAGAUGGGGAAACUGAGGCCUAAGAAAGGCAACCAGUUGCCCAAAGUCCCAGAAAAGGUUGAGGGCAGAGCCAGGACCAGAAGCAGGACUUUGAGUACCCAUUUCAGCUUCUCCUCCCAGGAAGCCCUGAUCAGGAGGUGCAGGGAAUAGCCUCAUCUGGGAAGUGGGGACACUGACACCUCCCUGACCCUGGGGGUGAGGGAGGGAGGAGAUGACACGAUGACACCUGGUGGAGAUUGUGGUACGUGGUGUGAACCCAGCUGGGUGGGUUUCCCUUCCUCUCCUCACCCUGCCUUCUCCCCAGAACUGGUGAUUUUGUUACUCUUCCCUACUUCCCACAAGGAGUAGGACUAGGGGUGCAAUGGGGCAUUGGGAUUUUGCAGAGACAGUGGGGACUUGGUGUGUGGGUGUGAGGUUAGGCUAGGGGAUGCAGGGAGGAACUGAGGACAGAGGCUUUCCCCUGGGUCUUGGGUGGGGGUGGGGUAGGUUAUUCCCACAGAGACCAGCAUUCUGGUCCCCAAGUCCAGAGGAAGACACAUCAGACAUGCACAUGCAAACACACACAUACACAUAAAACCACAUGUGACUUCACAUACACCCAGACACAUUCACACAUAUCCCCUACCCUUGACUGGUUAGAUAAUUGGUGGGCCAACUGCAAAGUGAAAAUAUGGGCCCCUUGUUAAAAACAAUUAUUAAGAAUUUUAAGAAGGUAACAGUUGAGCAUUAAACCUUCUGAGCAGAGGGCUGCACCUCCCUGAAGUUGGUCCCGUCCCCAGGACACUCCCUCAGGGAUCCACAGUCCCACAGACAUCCAACCAGAGACACACUCACCCGCAGACAGAUAUUCACACCCCUAUACUCACCACCACUGAGGCCACACACCCCGAAUACACCACUGCACCAGCCCCUGUGCGGCUGGAGCCUCACACUGAGCCAGAGCCCCUUCCAGCUGGCCAGGGCCAGCCACCCCCAGGGCCCUUACACUCACCCCUUAUCUGGGCUGCAGGCUCUCUCCUGCCCUCUACCCCACACAACUCCUCCCUCUACACAGACCAGCCUGCCUGCUGGUGUGGGAGUAGAUGACAGAGGAGAAAGCAAUGCUAGCUCCUCCAGCCACUCUGCAUCCUGGCCUGCAGGGGUGCAGCUGAGAGUGGAACGCUGAUAAUAAUCCUGUAAUAAUGAUAAUAACACGUUCGACUUGAACAUUUACCAUGUACUAGGCACUAUUCUAACGCUAUAAAUACAGACUUAUGCAGUCCUCACAACCAUAUGUGGUAAGUACAGUGAUUUAUCCCCAUUUGACAGAUGAGGAAACUGAGACACAAAAAAAUUGUCAUUUGUCUGACAUCUCACAGCUGAUAAGGAAUCCAGAUUCGAACCCAGGCCAUCUGGUCGAGAGAGCCUGCUCUGUCAGUUGUGGCUGUGGUUGCGUACCAAGAGUGUGUCAGCCCUGUGGGCCCAGGGGUUCUGUGACCCACCCAUGGGAGCUCGGGGCCUCUUGUGAAAUGAAUGAAAAAGGUGAUCAUGAUGCAGCAUCACCUUGACCGGGAUCCAUGGGCAACCCUGGAUGGUCAGCAGACUGCAGAAACAGAGAUGAGUGUCUUCUAUUGCAAUCUCAGUUUUUAGAUGUCUGAGGGAGAGACAUACACCUGUAUGUAAUUAAGGCAUUUAGAAAAAAAGAUUUAUCCCUUUAUUUUAGAGAGAGAGAGAGAGAGAGAGAGAGCAGGGGGAGGGGCAGAGAGAGAGGAAGAGAGAAUCUGAAGCAGACCCUGGAGCCCCACUCCACUGGGAGCUGAGAUCAUGACCUGAGUCCAAGGCUUAACCCACUGAGCCA
rnacentral:lncRNA from 1 species